rnacentral:rRNA from 1 species
UACAGAGGGUGCGAGCGUUAAUCGGAAUUACUGGGCGUAAAGCGUGCGUAGACGGUUAUUUAAGUCGGGUGUGAAAGCCCCGGGCUCAACCUGGGAAUUGCAUUCGAGACUGAAUAGCUAGGGUACGGUAGAGGGAAGCGGAAUUUCCGGUGUAGCGGUGAAAUGCGUAGAUAUCGGAAGGAACAUCAGUGGCGAAAGCGGCUUCCAUGGACC